rnacentral:rRNA from 1 species
AGUGCAUGUGGUGGAUGCCUUGGCAGUCAGAGGCGAUGAAAGACGUGAUAGCCUGCGAAAAGCUCCGGGGAGGCGGCAAAUAUCCUUUGAUCCGGAGAUGUCUGAAUGGGGGAACCCACCUACUUUAAGGUAGGUAUUGCAACAUGAAUACAUAGUGUUGCAAGGCGAACGAGGGGAAGUGAAACAUCUCAGUACCCUUAGGAAAAGAAAUCAAUUGAGAUUCCCUCAGUAGCGGCGAGCGAACGGGGAUCAGCCCAUUAAGUUAUGUGUGUUUUAGUGGAACGCUCUGGGAAGUGCGAACGUAGAGGGUGAUAUUCCCGUACACGAAAGGGCACACAUAAUGAUGACGAGUAGGGCGAGGCACGUGAAACCUUGUCUGAAUAUGGGGGGACCAUCCUCCAAGGCUAAAUACUCCUGACUGACCGAUAGUGAACCAGUACCGUGAGGGAAAGGCGAAAAGAACCCCUGUGAGGGGAGUGAAAUAGAUCCUGAAACCGCAUGCAUACAAGCAGUGGGAGCACCUUCGUGGUGUGACUGCGUACCUUUUGUAUAAUGGGUCAGCGACUUAUAUUCAGUAGCGAGGUUAACCGUAUAGGGGAGCCGUAGAGAAAUCGAGUCUUAAUAGGGCGUUUAGUUGCUGGGUAUAGACCCGAAACCAGGCGAUCUAUCCAUGAGCAGGUUGAAGGUUGGGUAACACUAACUGGAGGACCGAACCCACUGUCGUUGAAAAGCCAGGGGAUGACUUGUGGAUAGGGGUGAAAGGCUAAUCAAGCCUGGUGAUAGCUGGUUCUCCCCGAAAGCUAUUUAGGUAGCGCCUCGGACGAAUACCAUAGGGGGUAGAGCACUGUUUCGGCUAGGGGGUCAUCCCGACUUACCAAACCGAUGCAAACUCCGAAUACCUAUGAGUACUAUCCGGGAGACAGACUGCGGGUGCUAACGUCCGUAGUCAAGAGGAAAACAAUCCAGACCGCCAGCUAAGGCCCCAAAAUCAUAGUUAAGUGGGAAACGAUGUGGGAAGGCAUAGACAGCUAGGAGGUUGGCUUAGAAGCAGCCACCCUUUAAAGAAAGCGUAAUAGCUCACUAGUCGAGUCGGCCUGCGCGGAAGAUGUAACGGGGCUAAAACUAUGUGCCGAAGCUGCGGAUGUAUACUUUGUAUACGUGGUAGGGGAGCGUUCUGUAAGCCGAUGAAGGUGUGUUGAGAAGCAUGCUGGAGGUAUCAGAAGUGCGAAUGCUGACGUGAGUAACGACAAAACGGGUGAAAAACCCGUUCGCCGAAAGACCAAGGGUUCCAGUCCAACGUUAAUCGGGGCUGGGUGAGUCGACCCUAAGGCGAGGCCGAAAGGCGUAGUCGAUGGGAAAAUGGUUAAUAUUCCAUUACUUCUGUGUAAUGCGAUGAGAGGACGGAGAAGGCUAAAUCAGCCUGGCGUUGGUUGUCCAGGUGAAAGGAUGUAGGCAUGUAUCUUAGGCAAAUCCGGGGUACUCUAUGCUGAGAUCUGAUAGCAAGCUGUACUUGUACAGCGAAGUGGUUGAUGCCAUGCUUCCAGGAAAAGUCUCUAAGCUUCAGUUACACAGGAAUCGUACCCGAAACCGACACAGGUGGUCAGGUCGAGUAGACCAAGGCGCUUGAGAGAACUCUGCUGAAGGAACUAGGCAAAAUGGUACCGUAACUUCGGGAGAAGGUACGCUGUUGUUGGUGAUGGAACUCGCUUCCUGAGCUGACGACAGCCGCAGAAACCAGGCCGCUGCAACUGUUUAUUAAAAACAUAGCACUCUGCAAACACGAAAGUGGACGUAUAGGGUGUGAUGCCUGCCCGGUGCUGGAAGGUUAAUUGAUGGGGUUAGCGUAAGCGAAGCUCUUGAUCGAAGCCCCAGUAAACGGCGGCCGUAACUAUAACGGUCCUAAGGUAGCGAAAUUCCUUGUCGGGUAAGUUCCGACCUGCACGAAUGGCAUAAUGAUGGCGGCGCUGUCUCCAGCAGAGGCUCAGUGAAAUCGAAAUCGCUGUGAAGAUGCAGUGUACCCGCGGCUAGACGGAAAGACCCCGUGAACCUUUACUGCAGCUUGACACUGAACUUUGACCUUACUUGUGUAGGAUAGGUGGGAGGCUUUGAAGCUGGAACGCUAGUUCCAGUGGAGCCGUCCUUGAAAUACCACCCUGGUAAUGUUGAGGUUCUAACUCUGUCCCGUGAUCCGGGACGAGGACCGUGUCUGGUGGGUAGUUUGACUGGGGCGGUCUCCUCCUAAAGAGUAACGGAGGAGUACGAAGGUGCGCUCAGCGUGGUCGGAAAUCACGCGUAGAGUAUAAAGGCAAAAGCGCGCUUAACUGCGAGACCCACAAGUCGAGCAGGUACGAAAGUAGGUCUUAGUGAUCCGGUGGUUCUGUAUGGAAGGGCCAUCGCUCAACGGAUAAAAGGUACUCUGGGGAUAACAGGCUGAUACCGCCCAAGAGUUCAUAUCGACGGCGGUGUUUGGCACCUCGAUGUCGGCUCAUCUCAUCCUGGGGCUGAAGCAGGUCCCAAGGGUAUGGCUGUUCGCCAUUUAAAGAGGUACGCGAGCUGGGUUUAGAACGUCGUGAGACAGUUCGGUCCCUAUCUACCGUGGGCGCUGGAAAUUUGAGAGGAUCUGCUCCUAGUACGAGAGGACCAGAGUGGACGAACCUCUGGUGUACCGGUUGUGACGCCAGUCGCAUCGCCGGGUAGCUAUGUUCGGAAGGGAUAACCGCUGAAAGCAUCUAAGCGGGAAGCCUACCUCAAGAUAAGAUUUCCCUAGGACUUUAUGUCCUCUAAAGAGCCGUUCGAGACUAGGACGUUGAUAGGUUGGAUGUGGAAGCAUAGUGAUAUGUGAAGCUGACCAAUACUAAUUGCUCGUGAGGCUUGACU